rnacentral:rRNA from 1 species
GAUGAACGCUAGCGGCAGGCCUAAUACAUGCAAGUCGAGGGGCAGCAGGAGUAGCAAUAUUCGCUGGCGACCGGCGCACGGGUGCGUAACACGUAUACAAUCUGCCUUUAACAGGGGGAGUAGCCCGGAGAAAUCCGGAUUAAUACCCCAUAACAGUGAGACUGGCAUCAGUAGCACUUAAAAGCUCCGGCGGUUAGAGAUGAGUAUGCGUCUGAUUAGUUAGGGUGAGGUAACGGCUCACCAAGACCACGAUCAGUAGGGGAUCUGAGAGGA